UGAACUAAUGAAAUACAAAAAUUACUGAAGAAAUUAAUAAUCAAGGACGUUCAAAUCACUUUGGGUCAUUUCAGUUUAAAGUGGGUCAGACCAGUAAAAUACUAUCAUAAUAACCUAUAAAUAAU